CCGGGCUGCUCUCUUCCCUUUGAUGUGCCUCAGCUGAGGCAAGGACCUAACUAAGCCCUUUUGCAAUUCUCUUGAAUUUGGGGGAGUUUUCUCAGGCUGCCAUGUCGGUGUGCUGACUACUCCCAGUGUUGUGAAAUGGUCUGUCCCAGGGUGGUAGUGACACUAACACUCAGUAAUGUUUUAGCCUAAUUAACUUACGUGACUGAAGUUAUUAAAAUUGCUGUAGGAUAAAUACGACUUGUGACUCCAGUAAGACUUGAAUCUUACUGAUGGUCAAGACCAAACAUUAGCAGUAACAUUGAAACUGCAAAGAAAGAACUCUACAGAACAGUCUUAGAACUGCCCAAAACUGUUCCUAAUCUUUAAUUUAUUAGGAUAACUUUUCAAAAUAAUAUAUGUCCUAGUGAUAUUUACCUACAGCAAAAGGAAAUGCCUGCAGGGACAGCACGCGCUACCAGAACUGCUCCUUGCGAGGAAGACAAGACUUUGUGUGUUUUUCUUCUUCGUUGUAUUUCGUGUCUGAAGAAAAAUACCAAUUCAGCUCUUGUAUCUCAACUUAAGACAGACUUUGGUAGGAAAAUAACUUGGCACUGUAUCUUUGUGCUACUUGUAAACACUAGACUUCUUAAGAGGGUGGCCUUUUCCUUCUUACUUAUUUUGCUUCUGAUGGCUCUUCUUAAAACUCCCCAUCAGUCACACCAUAGCUCCUGAAGUUCCCCAGGCCAGUUCUUUGGCAGCCCUGGGUGAACCAAGGUUGCCACAACUGUGCUUGAGCUGCACUUCUGUGAGAACAGAGGGAAAGGCCAAGUGCUCUACAUGAGCUGCUGCUGUGCCCACCUUCCCGGGAACUGCUGCCCCGGGAGCCCCCUGAGCCACAGGCACCUCUGCCUCGAUGAGAAGGGGCUGCUGCCUCAAAAUUAUAAACACUGAAUAUUAAGGAUGUGUUCCACUCUUGAACUUUGAAUGGAUGCAAAAGUUAAUGAUAUGACAGGUUAAUUCUAAUGCAGAAUGACUUUGAAGCCUUUCCUUAUUUUUCUGUGAAACUUCAUGAGUCAGCCCUCUCUUUUGGAGGGGAUGACUGCAUGAGGCAAUCAAAGAAAGGGAGAAAACUGUAACUUUGUGGUAUUUUGUGUUUCUGUAAUUCUUGGCUUCUAGCUACCACUUUAACUUUCCAUAUAUACAUGUGAAUAUAUAGAUUUUCACAUAUAUAUUUUGAAGAAGCAAUUUCUGUCUCUCCAGGAUGCAGAAGAAGUUAUUACAUUUACUAUUUGGCUGAAGCCUGCUCAGCAUGAUCUGAUAUUGAUUUCAACAAUUUAUCUCCCUUCCUGAACCUCCAAACUUGAUUUUCAUGCCACUUGAGCAUGUUCUCCUUGCUUUUAUUUCAGUGCAACUCUUAACAGGUCUGAACAAAUUCACAUCUUUCAAGGUCUGGUGUGUUAACACCAAUUUUUUCUUCAUUCUCCAUUGUGUUCCCAAUAAUAACCUCACAAGAGGAUUGAUUCAAGAUAGUACAUGGUAACUUUUCAUGCAACUUCAUGUUGCAUUAUUCAAAUUUAUUAAUUUGGAUGCCAAACACAAAAUAAUUACAAUUGACCUGUCAACAGAAUAGUUGUUUGAUGGUUUAAGGCUUCAUGCAGGCUUAUUGGAACAGGACUGUUGUUGAGCAGUGCUGGUAUUUUAAAAGGUUGGUUAAUUAUCCAGUAAUAAUAAUCUUAAUCCAGUCUUAAUAAUCAAAAUGUUAAUAUAGGAAAAAGGAAUAAAACCCUUCUUCUUGCUGCCUAAUUCCAUGACUUCUUCCAAUUUUAAUUAUCUAGGCAGUAUUUUCUAAAUGAGACUAAUUCCUUGUCAGAAAUAUUUUCCACCUCUGACAAGGUAUUCUCACAAGUUUGAGAAAAUGUGCUGGUUUUUGCCUGUAUACUUUAGUUCACUAUCCUUCUGUGAAAUCUCACAAUAACGUUAUACUUAGAAAUUAAGAUAAUUUCAAGAGCAAAACAAUACAUAGCAAGUGGUUGUCAGAGUGCUUUACAGGGUUAUUUGGGACUGGAGUGGUGCAAUGGAGCAGAGAGUGCUGAGUGCUGCACAUGAGUGACUGGCUGAGACACAGAGGCAUUUAGCCAGAGGCUGGCUACCAUGGCAUGGAAACUCAGUUAUUACAAUCGUUUGGAUCCCAAAUCUGUUUGAAUAAGAGAGGUUUCAAAUAAUCCAUGUCACUGUUAAUGUACUUCAGUACAUGUCAGAGGAUGUGAUUCAGACUUGGGGGAGAGAAGGGAAUUAGGAAUAGCUGAUGCUCAGAUAACUGAGACUGUACCAGAACACAGAAUGCUGAGGUUUUUAGCCACUUUAUCCCAGGUCAUUAAUCUUGUCUAUUUUAUGCUCACAUUGCAUCCCACAAAACUUCAGAAUUUCCAGAAGAUGUUGAGUGUGGUUUUUUUUUUUUUUUUUUUUUUUUUAUGGUUUGGGUGUUUUUUGCUUGUUUAUUUUGGCUUUGUGUUUUUUUGGUCCUAUGGAAAAGUACUUUUUUUCCUUCUUAUUUUUUUUCCUCCCAAAAUGAGACAAAGAUUUACUAUUUUAAAUAAUUAUUUGCUCAAGUUUUAGUGCAAGCAAUACCUAUUUUUUGAAACCCAGUGGUAUCAAUAUGAUGUACUUAGUGUGUGCUAGGUGUGCUUGCUCAGUAGUAAAUGAAGUAUUGGGAUGGUUCAGUUCUGUACCUGCACUUUCCACAUGUGUUGGCCUAUUUCCAAAAAGGGGUGUGGGAUGGAGUAGAAAGUACUGGUAUAAUUUACUUGUAAACACAAAGGAAAAUUCUGGUCAUGGGGGUUAAAGUUGCAAGUAAACAGAUACAAAAUAAAGUUAUUUCUGUGGUCU
ensembl:lncRNA